UACGUAGGGUGCAAGCGUUGUCCGGAAUUAUUGGGCGUAAAGAGCUCGUAGGCGGUCUGUCGCGUCGGAUGUGAAAAUCCAGGGCUCAACCCUGGACCUGCAUUCGAUACGGGCAGACUAGAGUUCGGCAGGGGAGACUGGAAUUCCUGGUGUAGCGGUGAAAUGCGCAGAUAUCAGGAGGAACACCGGUGGCGAAGGCGGCAUCCUGGACCGAUACUGACGCUGAGGAGCGAAAGCCAGGGGAGCAAACGGG
rnacentral:rRNA from 1 species